AAAGCGUCUAGCCAUGGCGUUAGUAUGAGUGUCGUGCAGCCUCCAGGACCCCCCCCUCCCGGGAGAGCCAUAGUGGUCUGCGGAACCGGUGAGUACACCGGAACGCUAGGGUGACCGGGUCCUUUCUUGGAGCAACCCGCUCAAUACCCAGAAAUUUGGGCGUGCCCCCGCGAGACUGCUAGCCGAGUAGUGUUGGGUCGCGAAAGGCCUUGUGGUACUGCCUGAUAGGGUGCUUGA
rnacentral:other from 1 species